GGGGGCUGCUCCGAGUGCGGCUCGGCGCGUGUGCGCUCUGCGACUGCUGUUCGUGCGGGAGACGAGCGGCGUGCGAGAACUGGGCGGGCUCAGCGGCUUCCUGCACACCUUCACCUGCGAGGUGCUGGCCAUCGUGCGCGCGUACACGGCAGCGCUCGGCGGUAACGCUCUCACCUCGCUGUACGUCACGCACCUCAUGUUGCAGGACAACGCGCACAAGAACCAGGGCCAGUGCCUGCUAUCGGUCGGCGGGGACGUGGUGCACGUCACCUACUGACGUCACAAUAACUCCCACCACCUCCGUCUAUCUGUGCUCAUGUUCCUGUUCAAUGCUGACAAUUGGCUCGAAGCAAAGGUUUACUUCAAACAAUAAAUCAGUGCAUUAAUUGUAAUUAUUAUUAACAAUAUUCAUUAAUUAUAAAAAAUAUAUUUUGAAACUGAAGGAAUAUUAAAUAUAAUAUUACGCGGUUGUGGUAAUUAAUAAACGUACUUAAUAAAAUAAUUAGUUUAUUAAAGAACUGAGAAGAUAUUAAACAGUAAAAAGGCAGACAAGCUGGUAUAUAUUUGUUUUAAAGGUUUCAUAUUUGAUCCAGACUCGACAGAUAAAAGAAACGACAACAGUGCCACACGAUGCGCGCUGGUUGCGUGCCAACACACUAACAGAAACAUUACAAAAAUGAAAUAGAGGACUGCAUUAGUGUGUCUUAGCGCUGGGACGCGUUUACGAAUCCGACAAAAAUAAGAUAUUUUUCGGUAGAGUUUGUGAUGAAAUGAAACUAAAUCUAACAAAACUAAAUAUUACCACAAAUAGAUUACUUCUUUAAAUCCAAUUAGCGGGAAAUUUUUGCUUUUAAAUUUUGAUAUUUUAUGUCGUAAAAACGAUUAUCCGUUACCUCUUCAGACAAAAUUUACGAAAUGGGGAUCAGUUUUCUGCUACUACUUAUAUAAUUUUGUCUCUUAAAAAUUACGUAAGGAAUACAGAUAUAAUAUUUUCAAAAACAUGGGAAAUAAAUUAAUGAAUAAAUAAUCUCAGAAAGAAUUAAAAAUUAAUCGUCUACAAUUCAUAUAUUUUUCUGAUAAGCAUGAGCUUUAAAGUGUAGUAUUAAGGGUUAUUUUAUUUUGUCACUCCGUACGCAUUGCACAGAAAGAUCUAUCGAAAUUCGAAACAACGUCAGUCCGCGCUCGGCCGCCCUCGUGAGUAGACACUGCGUCGGUUAUGAGCAGCAGCUCGUACUCGGAAAGAUCGCUGUACGAACAUGAACAUUCUUUAGAAGCUCUACGAUACUGUCUUUGAUACUUUACAUAUUUUGUAAGCAGUCAGAUUUUCAAAAAAUUAUGUUUCUGUAUUUUUUUGAAGAAUUAGUGAUUUUUAAGUUCAUCUCUAAAUAUAAGGUCUAUAUUAAAUCGACAUCGGGUCAAAAUCGAAAUCCAAGAUGGCGCCUAUGAAAAUUACCAACUUCUCUUCAUGGGUGUCAUUUUCAUGGUUUUCGGGGUGAACAAUAACGAAUAUCGGGUCAAAACUGAAAUCCAUGAUGGCGCCUAUGAAAUCUACAAAAUUUUCAUCGUCAAAAUUAGAAUUCAUUUAUAAACUUAAAUUAUAUUAUAAAAGGCCUGUCUAACAAUAUCCCAUAUGCUAAAUUAAUUCUUCGUUCCCUAAAUAUAUAAUAUUUACGUUUCGACUUUUCACCCACAAUAUUUACAUAACACAUUCCGCUACCAAUCUAAUUAAAAAAUCUCAAAAUUUAUUUUGAAUGACCUAUCUAAUGAAACCCUACAUGCAAAAAAAAAUUUCAUCCUUUUUUUAACAACAAGAAGCUCUAUGCUUAUCAAUUAUUACCACCAUAUUAUGUGAAGAAGAGUUAUUUCAAUAGAUAUUGUAAUCAUAAGGUAUAAGCUAUUACAUUAAUGUAACGUAUAUCUUCCUUAAUCCCGCAUUAUUUUCAAAAGACCAAAGGAAAUGUCAUGUAUCAAACUUUCAAAAACCUAUCCAACGAUACUCUACAAGGUAAGUGCCCAGUAUUUUUUUCAACUCCACUUGUAGGGGAGGUUUCCUUAGGGGGGAAUACGAGGAGGAGGGAGUACGUCCAAAGUACCAGACAACACGAAAAAUGGCGUGCGUACAAAAUACACAUGUCAGAAGUGAAACUUAUUUGUGAAAACCUAUUUUUAAAUCUCGUUUAUAUUUAAUAAUUAUGCUAAUCUGUUCUCUAAACCAAUUGAUUUUUGUCAAUAUUAGAAAUUAUUAGAUGUUUUACUAAUUAUUAUUACUCAUUAAACCUGCACAAUACAAAGCUACCAGAGAAGAUGUUCUACUUACUCGCGGCCGCGCGCUAAACCUGCUUGAUACAACGCUAGUAGUCAAUUUGUGUUACUUCAUAGCGGUACCGCCUGCUUCAUGCUACAUUCGCAUUUUCUCACUCUAUCUCAAUCAGACUCAAUCUCCCUCCCCUCUUCUUGGAUAAAAACGUCCCUUCAUUUUCGUGACACUUUACUCCGUUUCAUCCGUAAAAAUUAUACCCUCAUGCGGGCAAAGAAGUUUCACUUCAAAAAUGAUCCCAAAUUCGUUCUCUGCACCCUCGAGAACCUCGAAUACGAUAUCCAUAUUGUUAAAAUCAUAAUUUUGCGCGGCGGCCAUCUUGUAUUUCAAAAGUGAUCCCAAUUUCGUUCUCUGCACCCUCGAUAGCCUCUGAUCCGAUACCCAUAUUGUUGAAAUCAUAAUUUUGCGCGGCGGCCAUCUUGGAAUUCAAAAAUGACCCCAAAUCCGUUCUCUGUACCCUUGAGAACCUCAAAUUCGGUAUCCAUAUUGUUGAAAGGGUAAUUUUGCGCGGCGGCUAUCUUGGAUUUCAAAAAUGAUCCCAAAAUCCUUCUCUGCACCCUCGAGAACCUCGGAUACGAUACCCAUAUUGUUGAAAUCAUAUUUUGCGUGGCGGCCAUCUUGGAUUUAAAAAAUGAUCCCAAAAUCGUUCUCUGCACCCUCGAUAACCUCGGAUCCGAUACCCUUAUUGUUGAAAUCAUAAUUUUGCGCAUCGGCCAUCUUGGAUUUCAUAAAUGAUCCCAAAAUCAUUCGCUGCACCCUCGAUAACGUCGGAUACGAUACCCAUAUUGCUGAAAUCAUAAUUUUCGCAGCGGCCAUCUUGGAUUAAAAAAAAACUGCGUUUACUGCAAACGACGUUAUGCGACAGAAUUGCCAUCUAAAGUUCUAAUAUUUAACUACUAAACGAAUACAUCAAACAAUUAUCAAAAUUACAUAGGUAGGUAUUAAAAAAAAUUCAAACUUGCUAAAGUAUCAAAUUCAUUUGAUUCCCGCUAUCAACUUUAAGUACGUGUAUGUGUUUGAGCGGUGUCAGUGUAGUGGUGCGAUUCGAUACCUCUCUGUUUUGAGAACGCGUCCUUAAAGCUAAGGAAAAUACAAAAACACACACUUUAUACUUAUGACAAUAACGCGAUAUUUAACAAUAAUUAUCAAAAGUGAACUUUAAUUAUUGCAACUCGCAACACGCGCAUAUUUAUACUAUAAAUACCAAUGGAUUACAUUUGAGUUCGAGAAUUGAGAUUUGAAUUAGUUUGUGAAUCACAUCAAUGUUUUCCGAUAGGCGUAAAAAAAUAUUGCGCAGUUGAUUAGCAUUGUGAUGAUCGUUUGAUUAAACUAAUAUAAGUAAGUAGUUAUAAUUAUACAAUGUCAAUAUUAUUUAUAAGUGUUUAUUAUACUCACGUAGUAACUAUCAAUCAUUUGUAUGAUGUAGAAGGUUUUCUUGAUGACUUUUUUGUUUUUGAUAUACUUGUAAGUGUCACUAAUGUUUAUGUUUGCGUAGCCUUAUUUUAUUGGACACUGAACUGUGUAGCUAUCAUUAUUACAAAUCUGUAGGUACUUAUUUGUAAUUAUAUUUUGAUAUUAACAAUGUGAGGUAACUAAGCAGAAAGGACUCAAACCACAAAAAUGCACUUUUUAACCGACUUCAAAAAGGAGGAGGUUCACAAUUCGAUUUUUUUUUAUGUAUGUUCACCGAUUACUCUGAGAUUUAUGAUCCGAUUCAAGUAAUUCUUUUUUAGUUUGAUGCUAAAUAGAUGCCAUUUGGUCUAAUUUAUUACACUACUAAUUGGAACGAAGUUCCUUACGGCGGACUUGGAGGGGAUAGGGAUUUUGCUGCGCGACCGAACUGAAAAAAAUGUGAUAGUAAAACCGUAAGAAAAAAUCCGUGGAAAAAAGUGCGUGGAAUAAAACCGUAAAAUGAGACGUGCGCAGGCGCGACAGUCGCAUACACAAGCGAGUAGUGUAUAUAUUAUCUAUAUUAUUAUAUUAUAUAUAUAUAUAUUAAUAUAUUAUUAAUAUAUGAUAACGAUACUAUGAUAAGAUUAAUAUAUGAUAGCAUACUUAACUCUAUUUUGACCAAAGUGUGGUUUGAGUCCUUUCUGCUUAACUACGUCCAAUUGAGAUAUAAUCAUAAAUAUUUUGAUAUCUCGAACUAUUCAAUAAUUUUUGUGUGAUCACAUUUUCAUUCAAUUCACAAUAAACCUUAUUUUCGCAAAUGAGUUGCGUAAAACGUAAAUAAAUAAAAGUAAUAAUUUUUUAGGAGUUACUGAGAUGUAAAGAGUUACAGUAGAGCAAAAUAAAGCACGGCGAAACAGAGCAGCCGUUACAGCGACAGUAAGUGACAGCAGAGCAUAGCUCCGUCACUAUCAAAUGACAAAUACAUGUCAUUAAUCAUAUUAAACUAGCUCAUCUACAUCUACAUAUCUAUUAUCACAUGACAGGAAGAAGUCAUUUUAAAUUCGGAGUAACAUUAUACUGCGUUCAUUAUUAACAUAGUAUAGGUGAAGUUAAGUGUGUGCUUUCUCUACAUAUAUUAGAUGUUAUCUUCCAAGGAUAAGCACGAGGGAUUAGGAUGCCCGGAUUCCACCAAGAUGGUGACGAGACUAGAGGAGAGGUAUCAGUUAAGUUUCUAUUAAUAUUUUGUGUACAACGAUCAAACCAGAGUUACUUAAGAUGUUCCUUCAAAAUAUAUUAUAUUAUAUUUUAUAUUCAUUAUAUUCAUAUCUUAUAUUCAUUUUUUAACGUUAGAAAGUUCAUAAUUCUUCUAUUAGAUAUUAUAAAACUACCAUUUCCCUUUUCGGACUGAUUAUAAAGUAUAACAAGAUACCGUAAUAGUGAGAAGUAUGGCGUCCGCUAUUGGUCUCUUCCACGGAGACGCCCGAGCAGAGUUGUCUAUUUUUUCAGAUGUUAGGUCAAUAAAAAAAGAGAAUCAUUUAUUUAAAUAUUUCCUACAACAACUUGUCAUAUGACGUUAUAUUUUGACGUACUAAAGUAACAGUUUUUGUUUCAUAUAAAAAGGGUAUUUUAGCGUAGGUACUCUAUUAACAUUAUAAAUGAUAAAGUACACCUGUAUUAAAUAGAAAAUGCUCGAUGUAAUAGUGCGAUUGGCAACCCUCACUGUUGAUCCCUGGUUACUUCCACAGAUGUGCCUGUGACUCUGUUGUCAUUUGUUAUUCAAUCACAUUAUAUCGAAAUUAUGCUCUUGUUGUCAAAUAGCUGUAUAAAAGCAAUGCUAUUUGUUUAUUAUAAAGGCACGCCAACACGAGAUGCCCAGGUUGCUUCACCACCAACCAUCGGUGUAAAUCAUCGCAUAUCAGCUCCUUGAUGGAAUCCGGGCUUAACGUUAUUUUGGGCAUGACCUUCUAAAAUGUACAUAAUUAACUUCAUUAUAUGUAAGACUCAUCAAGAAAAUGUAACGAAGUAAUAAAUUAAGUAUAUCAAUAAACGUAUUGAGUAAAUAACCAUUGACAGACUGUAUAAUUGUUCUUGCCAUGUUUUCAUACUUUUACACAAAUAAAGUUUGAUUUGAU